UACAAGGCCCUGCAUCAUGUGUUCCUAUAUCCCAACGCAUCUUAUGCCAUCCCUCCUUCACCAUUGUGCUUCUUCAGCCACACUGAUCUUGACCAGGCCACCAAGAACUGUCUUGUGCUGUGACUUUUGUACAUGGUGUCUCCCCUGCCAGGAAUGCCCUUCCCUCUUCAUACUCACUGAAUAGCAGUAGCAACUUUCGUCUUGUAUUUUUUUCUAGAUACCUCUUCUGAGACUUAACCUGACUACCUCAUAAAAAAAUUGCAGUUGUUCUACUUCUCCCUUUUCUAGCUCAGCUUUUUGUUUUCCUUAGAGCUAUCAUCAUAAUGGCAAUUGUUCGACUGAUUUUUCCAUUCAUUUAGGUUGUAGUUUUGUGCCAAUUGACAUAAGUUCCAUAAAAGCAGAACCUUGAAAUCUUUUCUUGGUACAGUACCUGAAUAGGGAGGGGCUCAGUAAUUGGGUAGUCUUUAGGCCUUGGUAUCCUGCUUUAUAAUUUAUAAAGCAGAAGGCGUGAAUAAAAAUAUUCAUAGCAGCACUUUCUUGGUAACAGCCCCAAACUAGAAACUACCCAAAGGCCAUAAACAAGAGAAUGGAUAAAUUGUGGAAGUUUGCAGUGAUGGAGUCAACAGCAACUACAUGGGAACAGCAUGGAUGAAUUUAUACCCAACACUGGGAAAAAUAAACCAGACAGAGUAUAUACUCUGUGAUUUCAUUUAUAGAAAAUUCAAAACAGGCAAAAUAAUCUAUGAUAUUAGAAGUAGUCACUUUUACCCCUGGUGCAGUCAGCAAUGGCUGGAGGGGGAAGGGGGGUUUCUGAGCUGCUGGAGAGUUUCUUCGUCUGGGUGUUAGUUACACAGAGUGUGUUCAGCUUGUGAACUUUCAAAUCUCUACCUUUAUGAUUUGCACAUUUCUUUCCCCCAAAUGUGUUUCCUGGCUGUACAACCAGAGAAUCUUGAUUUGCAGGUCUGCGGAGGGUCAAGAAUCUGCAUGUAAUAAACAAGCUCCCCAAGUGGUUCAUUGAACACAGUUUGGGAAAGACUGGGAUUCUCCAGUUACAGAAUUAUUUUUCUAGAGUUCACUAAAUGGUUAUGUCACACUGGUUUAAAGUCCUCCAGAAGUCCAUUUUUAUCACCUAAUCUACAGGAUGAAGUCCAAACUCCUUAGCCAUUCAAGGCCUUGCAUAAUCUCACCCCAACCCCCCUUCCUAGCUUCUUCUCUCUGGCCGUUCUGCGCCCCUCACCCCUAAUCCCGCUAUAGCUACGUUUCAUGGCUUUUCAUGCAGUCAGCCCCCCUCUUCCUAGAAUGUGCUCCCCAUCUUUCUCCCUGAAAAAUGACAGUGCAUCCUUGAAGAAGCAUCUUUUUUUUUGAAAGGAAACCAGGAUUUUCUUUUCUUUUUUUUUGGUACGCGGGCCUCUCACUGUUGUGGCCUCUCCCGUUGCGGAGUACAGGCUCCGGACGCGCAGGCCCAGUGGCCAUGGCUCAUGGGCCUAGUCGCUCCGUGGCAUGUGGGAUCUUCCCGGACCGGGGCACGAACCCGUGUCCCCUGCAUCGGCAGGCGGACUCUCAACCACUGCGCCAACGGGGAAGCCCUUCUUUUCUUUUAAAAUUUAUUUUAUUUUUUAAUUUUAUUUUUGGCUGCAUUAGGUCUUUGUUGCUGUGCACAGGCUCUCUCCAGUUGUGGUGAGCGGGGAUACUCUUCGUUGCAGUGCACGGGCUUCUCAUUGGGUGACUUCUCUUUGUUGCGGAGCACAGGCUCUAGGCGCGCAGGCUUCAGUAGUUGUGGCACGCGGGUUCAGUAGUUGUGGCUCUCGGGCUCUGGAGCACAGGCUCAGUAGUUGUGGCGCAUGGGCUUAGUUGCUCCGCGGCAUGUGGGAUUUUCCUGGACCACGGCUUGAACUCAUGUCCCCUGCACUGGCAGGCCGAUUCUUAACCACUGCGCCACCCGGGAAGCCCAUCCUUGAAGAAGCAUCUUUUUUAAAAAAAAAAAAGGGCACACGGGUUCGAGCCCUGCUCCGGGAAGAUCCCACAUGCCGCGGAGCAACUAAGCCCGUGUGCUACAACUGAGCCUGCGCUCCAGAGGCCGUGAGCCACAACUACGGAAGCCCACGCCCCUAGAGCGCAUGCUCCACAAUAAGAGAAGCCACCGCGAUGAGAAGCCCGCGCACCGCAACGAAGAGUAGCCCCCCGCUCGUCGCAACUAGAGAAAGCCCUCACACAGCAACAAAGACCCAACGUAGCCAAAAAUAAAAAUAAAUAAAUUUAAAAAUAUAUAUUUAUUUAUUUGGCUGCACCAGGUCUUAGUUGUGGCAUGCGGGAUCUUCGUUGCUGCAUGCAGGAUAUUUAGUUGCAGCAUGCUAACUCUUAGUUGCAGCAUGUGGGAUCUAGAUUCCUGACCAGGGAUGGAACCCGGGCCCCCUGCAUUGGGAUCGCGGAGUUUUAGCCACUGGACCACCAAGGAGGUCCCUGAAGAAGCAUCUUAAGACACCUUUCAAAGCAGCCCCAGGCGGUUUUCAGAGUUCUUCAAAGCUUCAUUAUAAUGGCAAGAUAAUUCUCCAAGCAAGCCUUUUCUACCUCGCUACAUCGCCGGCGUCCAGUAAUAAGCAAAAACAUCUUAAGCACCUAUACGGUUCAAACGCAAGAGAACCAGACAAAGCACACGCCCAGGUCUGGUUGGCUGGCUACGCCCGUUCCAGGACGCCCAACCGGCUCGUCCAAUCACCGGGAGGAAGGGCAAGUCGGGGACGACGCCAGGAUCCAAGAUGGCGUCCUGGCCCCACCCGUUAUUUCGCGGGGCCUCUCCCUGCGGAGCCACGCCCCUGCCGUACGCCGUCCCUACGUGUCCAAUCACUGAGAGGAAAGGCGGGUCAAGGUCCGUGCCUGCUACAAAGAUGGCGACCGCAGAACGCUCUAGAGCUUCAGUCUUUCGUCAGCUGUUGGCGUGAGCUGUGUUGGAAAUUAUGUUCCCCUGAAGCCGCGCGCCGCAGCGCCUGUCUGUGGCAAGAAGUGGAUGUGAAGGGCAGGGCGGACGUCCUGCUUCGGGUUUCAGCGUUGAGGCUCCGACCAGAGGGGUAGCGCUGAUGUCGGCUCCAGGCCGGGCGAUGCGAGGGAGGGCAGCAGCUCGCCCCCUUCCCCGCUGUUUCCAGAAUCCUUGCGGGUGUCAGCGUGGCCAGAGCUGUCCACCUGUACACACCGGACCCCAGUAUACCUGUCAGCUUCAGCUGAGUAGAUGUAUCUCGGGUUUUUUUUUUUUUUUCUCUCAGUCAUGAGGGAUGGAGGCUUCAGUUUAGCAGACAAACUGUUUGUCUGGGGCCCAAAAGAGAAAAAAGUCUCAGCCGGCUCAAGAAGUGAAGCAAAAGCUACGCAGAACCCUGACAUCCUUGUUCCUGUAACCUGAGUUAUGAACCAAUUCCGGUUAUGAUGCAACUGGCAUGGCCGUCAUAUGUUUGCCUACCUGGCAUGAUAUAUUUAGGAAUGAAAAAUGCACGUUACUUCUGUGAAGUGAAGAAACUGCACAACCUAAAAGUUGAGAAUUUUUUUAUUUGGUGGCUUUUCUGAGGACCUAAGCCAGGAAGACAGCCUCUCAAAUCGCUUUGGGGGACUGCUCCAAAGAGGCAAGGGAGGAGCCAGGAUAUAUACGAGUUUUCCAGCAAAAACCAGAACUGGAGCCAGUUUUGAAAGAGAAAAUUAGCUACGUACCACAUGGUGCUCGAAAUAGCUGAAGAAAUGCAGAAUGAACUAACAGGCUAACAGGCCUCCAAACCCAGAACAAGUUCCCGGAGCUGGUAAAAGCAGCCGAAUUCUUGAGUGUGAUCAUAGAUGGGAACACUGGUAUCUCUUCCAAAGAAAAUCUCUCCCUCUUUGUGUGCCGUUUUCACCAGACUGAAGAAGAGUCCCUGGCAACCACUGAUCUAUGUUCUACAUCUACGGAAGGUAAUUUAUUUAUUAUUUUAUUUUAUUUUUUAAGAGAGGGGUAUCUGGAGCUUUAUCCUUUAAAAUUUUUUUAUUUUUAAAAUUUUUGUUGACGUAUAGUUGAUUUACAAUGUUGUGUUAGUUUCAGGUGUACAGCAAAGUGAUUCAGAUACAUACAUACACACACACACACACACACA